ACGAACGCUGGCGGCACGCUUAACACAUGCAAGUCGAACGAGAGAAGAGGAGCUUGCUUUUCUGAUCUAGUGGCGGACGGGUGAGUAACACGUGAGCAAUCUGCCUUUCAGAGGGGGAUACCGAUUGGAAACGAUCGUUAAUACCGCAUAACAUAAUUGAACCGCAUGAUUUGAUUAUCAAAGAUUUAUCGCUGAAAGAUGAGCUCGCGUCUGAUUAGCUAGUUGGUAAGGUAACGGCUUACCAAGGCGACGAUCAGUAGCCGGACUGAGAGGUUGAUCGGCCACAUUGGGACUGAGACACGGCCCAGACUCCUACGGGAGGCAGCAGUGGGGAAUAUUGCACAAUGGAGGAAACUCUGAUGCAGCGAUGCCGCGUGAGGGAAGAAGGUUUUAGGAUUGUAAACCUCUGUCUUCAGGGACGAAAAAAGACGGUACCUGAGGAGGAAGCUCCGGCUAACUACGUGCCAGCAGCCGCGGUAAUACGUAGGGAGCGAGCGUUGUCCGGAAUUACUGGGUGUAAAGGGAACGUAGGCGGGAUCGCAAGUCAGAUGUGAAAACUAUGGGCUUAACCCAUAAACUGCAUUUGAAACUGUGGUUCUUGAGUGAAGUAGAGGUAAGCGGAAUUCCUAGUGUAGCGGUGAAAUGCGUAGAUAUUAGGAGGAACAUCAGUGGCGAAGGCGGCUUACUGGACGAUAACUGACGCUGAGGCUCGAAAGCGUGGGGAGCAAACAGGAUUAGAUACCCUGGUAGUCCACGCCGUAAACGAUGAUUACUAGGUGUGGGGGGACUGACCCCUUCCGUGCCGCAGCAAACGCAAUAAGUAAUCCACCUGGGGAGUACGACCGCAAGGUUGAAACUCAAAGGAAUUGACGGGGGCCCGCACAAGCAGUGGAGUAUGUGGAUUAAUUCGAAGCAACGCGAAGAACCUUACCAGGUCUUGACAUCGUAUGCAUAGCUCAGAGAUGAGUGAAAUCUCUUCGGAGACAUAUAGACAGGUGGUGCAUGGUUGUCGUCAGCUCGUGUCGUGAGAUGUUGGGUUAAGUCCCGCAACGAGCGCAACCCUUACUGUUAGUUGCUACGCAAGAGCACUCUAGCAGGACUGCCGUUGACAAAACGGAGGAAGGUGGGGAUGACGUCAAAUCAUCAUGCCCCUUAUGACCUGGGCCUCACACGUACUACAAUGGCUGUCAACAGAGGGAAGCAAAGCCGCGAGGUGGAGCAAACCCCUAAAAGCAGUCUUAGUUCGGAUUGUAGGCUGCAACCCGCCUACAUGAAGUCGGAAUUGCUAGUAAUCGCAGAUCAGCAUGCUGCGGUGAAUACGUUCCCGGGCCUUGUACACACCGCCCGUCACGCCAUGGGAGUCGGUAACACCCGAAGCCUGUAGUCUAACCGCAAGGAGGACGCAGUCGAAGGUGGGAUUGAUGACUGGGGUG
rnacentral:rRNA from 1 species